rnacentral:lncRNA from 1 species
AAUUCAGAGAUGUUAAGACUAUCUAAUGUAGAGGUAAGAGUAUCGUAAUGAGAGGUAAGCAGGAGGCUAGAAGGCUAAUGUAGAGGUAAGAGUAUCUAAUGUAGUAGUAAGAGGAGCUAGAGGAGCUAAUGUAGAGGUAAGAGUAUCUAAUGUAGAGGUAAGAGUAUCUAAUGUAGUGGUAAGAGUAUCUAAUGUAGUGGUAAGAAUCUAGUGUAGAGGUAAGAUAUCUAAUGUAUAGUCGUGUAUCUAUGUAGAGUAAGAGUUCUAAUGUAGAGGUAAGAGUAUCUAAUGUAGUA